ensembl:lncRNA
CUCAUGUUCAUCUUCUAUUGUUGUUUCUUUUUGCGCGUCCCCUUGCAAUGGCUCGCGAGCCAGUUACCAUAGUAACAAUAAACUUAGCCUCAGGCUUUCAGUUUGUUCUCACAGAUUUGACGAGCCUCGGUCAAGGAAGAUUAUCACAAAAAAAUGUCAGAAAAUGAAGACUCUCCUAUGGAUGCCAAUGGUACAGAGAAAGAGACAGCCGAUCGUGGGUCAGAAGUACCUGGCGUGCCCCUGGAAAAUAAGCAAGGAUUUGGGGAGGAAAGCACUAUGUCAUCUCAUGAAAAAGGAAAUGAUGAUAUAGCAAAACUCGCAUCCUCACAUCAGGAUCUAGAAGUGAAACCACCACUAACCACCAUAAAAACAGGUGCGGGUAAACACAGAAGAAUUGGAGCGCAAAUGGAAAAAAACAUCAAUCAGACAGCACCAGCUGCUGUAUCCCAGACAGUCACCACUGCUGUCAGUAAUUAAUAUUUUUAUUUAUUUUGUUUUAUUAUUUUUAUUUUGUUAUUUUAUAUUUUAAUUUAUAUUUAUUAAUUUAUAUUUGUUUUAUGAAAUAAUAUAUUAUUUUGUUUGUGGAUUAUAUAUAGUCUGGCACUC